AUUGAACGCUGGCGGCAUGCCUUACACAUGCAAGUCGAACGGCAGCGCGGGAGCAAUCCUGGCGGCGAGUGGCGAACGGGUGAGUAAUACAUCGGAACGUGCCCAAUCGUGGGGGAUAACGCAGCGAAAGCUGUGCUAAUACCGCAUACGAUCUACGGAUGAAAGCAGGGGAUCGCAAGACCUUGCGCGAAUGGAGCGGCCGAUGGCAGAUUAGGUAGUUGGUGAGGUAAAGGCUCACCAAGCCUUCGAUCUGUAGCUGGUCUGAGAGGACGACCAGCCACACUGGGACUGAGACACGGCCCAGACUCCUACGGGAGGCAGCAGUGGGGAAUUUUGGACAAUGGGCGAAAGCCUGAUCCAGCCAUGCCGCGUGCAGGAUGAAGGCCUUCGGGUUGUAAACUGCUUUUGUACGGAASGAAACGGCCUUUUCUAAUAAAGAGGGCUA
rnacentral:rRNA from 1 species